rnacentral:rRNA from 1 species
AAAACGACUCUCGGCAACGGAUAUCUCGGCUCUCGCAUCGAUGAAGAACRUAGCGAAAUGCGAUACUUGGUGUGAAUUGCAGAAUCCCGUGAACCAUCGAGUCUUUGAACGCAAGUUGCGCCCUAAGCCGUUAGGCCGAGGGCACGUCUGCCUGGGUGUCACGC